rnacentral:lncRNA from 1 species
GGAUCUGUCCCUGACCAGCCCUGCCCACCCUCUGGCGCUGUAUUGGUGGAACUCUGACUCUUCCCACGUCAGCCCCGCCUCUCCUGGCUCUGUCCGGGCCAACUGGAGCCACGACAGGCUCCUCCAAGUCUCCCCUCACCUAAUAGCUGCACCUGGAUGCGAAUUGGAAGCUCGAAUUCCCAGCCGCGUCCAGGCUCCCCCCCCCCUCCAGCUUUCCACCUAAGUCGAACGAUCGACGGGUCCCCGACCCUGGCGCUGGGUAGCGACGUGCAGGACUCACCGCGGGUGAGGCGCGGACUCCGGCCAGGGCUCCGGGCUGGGCCAGGUGAGUGCAGCCGCCGCAGGUAGGACACGAGGCUCUGCCCGCAGAGGCUGAGUAAGAGGCUGACAGGUUGUUUUCCCCCUCCUCCUCUCGGUCGUUAACCACACCCCUGCUGCUCUCCUCCCUACUUCCUUAAAGGGUGGGGUGUGCUGUCUGUGUGUGCAGCCUCCAGCCUCUUACCAUAAACUCUGAAAUAGACGCUGCCUGCAAUUCCCGGAGCUGCCCGGCUGACCCGGGGGACCAGAGACAUUGACUUGGGGCCUCACAAGGGGUCAUCAGGUGUCCCCAGCGUCUUGAGAUUGGUUGACCGCCCCCCCCCCAACUCCUACCACCCCUGCCUUCUUCCACUCACCCCUUUCUGCAGCCUUUGGUCACUAGACUUGUCUCACGUUCUCAGCAGCUGUGACUCAGUGUCCCCACACAUGGCAGUGGUCCCCUGGUACAAGGUUGGAAACACUGAGGACUGGGUCUCUGAGCCCAGACCCUGCAGGACCAGAGAACAACUCAAAAAUAAUCAGAGAAGGGACUGGGAAUGUAGCUCAGAUGGUAAAAUAUUCAUCUAGCCUGGGUUCCAUCCCCAGAACCAAUGGGCCUGAUACGGAGUAAUUCCAACCUCUGGAGGUUUAAUCCCUCCACUAGGGAGAAUAACAAGUUCUAGGUUGUUCUUGGCUACCUGGUGGGUUCAAGGUGAGGCUAGGCUGCAAGAGAUUAUGUCUCAAAACAAACAGAAAGAGAGAGAGAAAGAAAAGAAAGAAAGAAAGAAAGAAAGGAAGGAAGGAAGAGAGAAGCCCCACAGUUUUCUUCUGAGGUCCUCUUCCUACACCAGUGUCACCACCCCCUGAAGAGACUAGUCACCCCUAGUCACUCCCUUUACUUGUGAGUGACUUGUGAGACUUGAGGCAGAUCAAGGGCUCUUUGCAACAUACCUUCUCUAGCCCUAGAAAGAUUGUGAGUGGAAGUCAGUGAGCUAGACUUAGCAGAAGAGCCUUUCCUAGGCUUUAUAGGGUUUGAGAUCUAGUUGGCCUCUGACAAUAGCAAUCCUGAGACUUUGUGACAUCAAGCUGCCCAGCUACCGGUGAAAACCACAGUCUCCAUGACACUUCUUCACCCCACCCCACCUCUAAAUUUAGCAGAUGGAGACAUUGAGAGCUACCAGAGUGGCAGUGAUGAUUUCCCAAGAGAAAACAGAAUUAAUAAAUUAAGCACUCAGGAGGCA